AGUGAACGCUGGCGGUAGGCCUAACACAUGCAAGUCGAACGGCAGCACAGUAAGAGCUUGCUCUUACGGGUGGCGAGUGGCGGACGGGUGAGGAAUACAUCGGAAUCUACUUUUUCGUGGGGGAUAACGUAGGGAAACUUACGCUAAUACCGCAUACGACCUACGGGUGAAAGCAGGGGAUCUUCGGACCUUGCGCGAUUGAAUGAGCCGAUGUCGGAUUAGCUAGUUGGCGGGGCAAAGGCCCACCAAGGCGACGAUCCGUAGCUGGUCUGAGAGGAUGAUCAGCCACACUGGAACGGAGACACGGUCCAGAGUCCUACGGGAGGCAGCAGUGGGGAAUAUUGGACAAUGGGCGCAAGCCUGAUCCAGCCAUACCGCGUGGGUGAAGAGGGCCUUCGGGUUGUAAAGCCCUUUUGUUGGGAAAGAAAAGCAGCAGGUUAAUACCCCGCUGUUCUGACGGUACCCAAAGAAUAAGCACCGGCUAACUUCGUG
rnacentral:rRNA from 1 species